rnacentral:rRNA from 1 species
AUGCCUGUACCAUAACCGACACAGGUGGGUAGGUAGAGUAUACUAAGGGGCGCGAGAUAACUCUCUCUAAGGAACUCGGCAAAAUGACUCCGUAACUUCGGGAGAAGGAGUGCCUUAUUUCUAAGGUUGCAAUAACAAGAUCCAAGCAACUGUUUAUCAAAAACACAGGUCUCCGCUAAGUCGUAAGACGAUGUAUGGGGGCUGACGCCUGCCCAGUGCCAGAAGGUUAAAGAAGUUGGUUAGCAUUUUGCGAAGCUGAUAACUGAAGCCCUGGUGAACGGCGGCCGUAACAAUAACGGUCCUAAGGUAGCGAAAUUCCUUGUCGGGUAAGUUCCGACCCGCACGAAAGGCGUAAUGAUUUGGAUACUGUCUCGGAGAGGGACUCGGUGAAAUAGACUUGUCUGUGAAGAUGCGGACUACCUGCACCUGGACAGAAAGACCCUAUGAAGCUUUACUGUAACUUGAAAUUGAAAUUGGACUUUAUUUGCGCAGUAUAGGUGGGAGGCGUUGAGAAUAUUCUUGCGGGAGUAUUGGAGCCAUCAGUGAGAUACCACUCUUGUAAUGUUAGAUUUCUAACUUUGUAUCAUUAUCUGGUCAAAGAACAGUUUCAGGCGGGCAGUUUGACUGGGGCGGUCGCCUCCCAAAUGGUAACGGAGGCGCACAAAGGUUUCCUCUGAACGGGUAGAAAUCGUAUCUAGAGUGUAAAGGCAUAAGGAAGCUUGACUGUGAGACCUACAAGUCGAGCAGGGACGAAAGUCGGUCUUAGUGAUCUGACGGUGCUGAGUGGAAAGGCCGUCACUCAACGGAUAAAAGUUACUCUAGGAUAACAGGCUGAUCUCCCCCAAGAGUUCACAUCGACGGGGAGGUUUGGCACCUCGAUGUCGGCUCAUCGCAUCCUGGGGCGGUAGUACGUCCCAAGGGUUGGGCUGUUCGCCCAUGAAAGCGGUACGCGAGCUGGGUUCAGAACGUCGUGAGACAGUUCGGUCCAUAUCCGGUGUAGGCGUUAGAAUAUUGAGAGGAGCCUUCUUUAGUACGAGAGGACCGAGAAGGACGUACCUCUGGUGUACCAGUUAUCGUGCCAACGGUAAACGCUGGGUAGCUAUGUAUGGAGAGGAUAACCGCUGAAAGCAUCUAAGUGGGAAGCCCACCUCAAGAUAAGUAUUCUCAUCACGUAAGUGAAUAGGUCACGGUAAGACUAACCGUUUGAUAGGCAUUAAGUGUAAAUCUAGUAAUAGGUGAGCUGAGAUGUACUAACAGACCGAAGACUUGA